UACGUAGGGGGCAAGCGUUGUCCGGAAUCAUUGGGCGUAAAGCGCGCGUAGGCGGCCCUGUAAGUCCGCUGUAAAAGUCAAAGGCUCAACCUUUGAAAGCCGGUGGAUACUGCAGGGCUAGAGUCCGGAAGAGGCGAGUGGAAUUCCCAGUGUAGAGGUGAAAUUCGUAGAUAUUGGGAAGAACACCGGUGGCGAAGGCGGCGCUCUGGACCGAGACUGACGCUGAGGCGCGAAAGCGUGGGGAGCAAACAGG
rnacentral:rRNA from 1 species